AGCCAACUUCAAGAUAAGAUUUCCCACCGCAAGGGUAAGACCCCAGAAAGACUAUCUGGUUGAUAGGUCGAAGGUGUAAGUGCAGCAAUGUAUUUAGCUUAUCGAUACUAAUAGGUCGAGGACUUGACCAAUAUU
rnacentral:rRNA from 1 species